CAUACUGGACAAAGCACCGUAUGGGAGUGGUUUCUUAGAAUCGAAUGAAUCCUGCUGAAUGUAAGGUUUUUCAAUUCCUGUAGCCGAACUAUUACUUUGUCAAGUCAAAAGGGUUCAAGGGAACACUAUUAGCGCUUAUUUUGUCAGGAAAUCCCAAAGAGGGUAUACAAAACUCAACCGAAUAACAUCAUAUGCGAUUUUGUGUAACAAAUCACUGACGCUGGAUGGUUGGUGAUUCAUAAGUUGCGUUCCCCAAACAUGUGCUGUGUCUGACGAGGCUGACCCGCGAUACCGAGACCCCCAGGAAGACCAUGCUGUCCCUCCUGCUGCCCACGCUGCUUGCUGUGCAAGCUCUCGCUGUCCUAGAAGUGCAAGUCCCAGAGCUGCCAGUGGUUGCUCUGUACGGCAUGGACACCACUCUCAACUGUUCCUUCAGCCACGCCUCUCCCUUCAACCUGUCUGACCUCAGUGUCUUCUGGCAGCUGACGGACACCAAGCGCACUGUGCACAGCUACUGGGCUAGCCAGGACCAGCUGGCAGACCAGGGAGAGCGCUAUGCCAACCGCACCAGCCUGUACCCCUCCCAGCUGGGCACGGGCAACACCUCGCUCCUCUUGAGGGGGGUCCGGGUGGCCGACGAGGGUAGCUACACCUGCUUCGUCAGGGUGGAGGCCUACGGUAGUGCAGCCCUACUGCUCCAGGUAGCAGCCCCCUAUUCCAAGCCUCUGGUGACCCUGGAGCCGGACUCUAACCUGCGGCCGGGUGACAAGGUGGCGCUGACCUGCGUGGCGUACGGUGGCUACCCUGAGGCUGACGUACUGUGGCAGGAUGGGGGCGGGCACAACCUGACGGACAACGUCACCACCUCCCUGGUGGCCAAUGAGGAGGGGCUGUUCAGCAUGCGCAGUGUCCUGACUGUCACCCUGGAGCCCAAUAGCACUUACAGCUGCAGACUGACCAACCCAUUAUUGGGUGAGGAUGGCCACGCCUCCGUCACCAUCACAGGUCAGAACAUGGUGUUUCCCCCGGUGGCUCUGUGGGUGACUGUGGGCCUGGCUGUGUGUCUGCUGGGUCUGCUCAUCGCCCUGGCUGCAGUCUGCCGUAGGAAGAUCAAGGAGAGCUGUGAGGAGGACAGAGCAGCCAAGGAGCUUGAAGAGGCCAAAGAGCUGCAGGAAGAGGAGCAGUCUAAGACAGCCAUGACCCCCCUGAAAAGCUAAAGCCAAUAGAACACAGGAGGCAGUACGUGCUCUCGAAGCCCCAAGGUCUGCAGAGGCUUGAGGAGGCAGACGGUGAGACAGCGAUGAGCCUGGUAUUUAAUCCCACUACACCUAUCCAUCGACGGAGAGACUGGUUCCACUGUCUCCUACCCACACAGUGUCCAGGCCUUACUGAGCUGAUGAUGAGUCCAUCAUACCCAUCCCUACAGGACCACUUCUCCUGGGUUUCAAAAAGACAUAAACCCAUCAUAUCCUAUUACAGCACUAUGCAUUUCCCUUCCCCUGCUACUCUUUCAGUUAACGAAGACUGCUGCAGUAUAUGAAUACUGAUGUGGAGUCGAAUUAAUUUCUAUGCAAUAUGCUAGAGAGAAACUCAACGCCAUUGGAUGUGACAGGCUCCCUGUGUAUCGAGGUAGGAAGUUUGAGAGACCCAGGAUCUCAUUUCUAAUAGGAAGUGAGCAGCUUAAGAGAUGACCCAGCUGAGGCUGCCAUCGGUGUCUCCGUAGCUGUCUGCCUGCCAGAGAUGGAGUGUAGCUGUGUAGUUCUCCAUUUACUCCUCGACUCACUAAUUAAUGGUUGCCCGUGGAGUAACUUGUACCUGUCAGUGUCUACCGCUCUCUUAUAUUCAAUAACUUGGAGGAAUUGAAAUUGAAUACCUGCUAAGCUCGAACAAACUGCAAAUGGUGCAUGGGAUACACCCUGGUUCUCUCAGUGACCUGACAGCAGCCUUAUAUGUAAGGUUUUUAAUGAACAUGGACUCUUCUUCAGCUACUCUUAACUGCCAAGGUGGAAUGUUUUAUGAAUUCAAGAUGGAGGCUGGAAGGGUGGGUGGGUGAUGGUAUAGGUUCUGUUACAGUAUACAGGUACUCGAGUCCUUGUGCCAAGUCCUUGUGCCAAAUGUCCAUGUGCGUAUCAAUGCCAAAGCUGUCCAUAAAACAACCCAGUGCCGAUUCGCAUUAAAGAGACAUGGUGAAAAUGUU